AGAGUUUGAUCCUGGCUCAGGAUGAACGCUAGCGACAGGCUUAACACAUGCAAGUCGAGGGGCAGCGGGGGCGAAGCUUGCUUCGCCUGCCGGCGACCGGCGCACGGGUGAGUAACACGUAUGCGACCUGCCCCCCGCGGGGGGAUAACCGGGAGAAAUCCCGACUAAUACCGCGUAACGCCGCUGGGCUGCAUGGCCCGGCGGCCAAAGGAAGCGAUUCCGGCGGGGGAUGGGCAUGCGGCGCAUUAGCUAGUCGGCGGGGUAACGGCCCACCGAGGCGACGAUGCGUAGGGGUUCUGAGAGGAAGGUCCCCCACACUGGUACUGAGACACGGACCAGACUCCUACGGGAGGCAGCAGUGAGGAAUAUUGGUCAAUGGGCGGGAGCCUGAACCAGCCAAGUCGCGUGAGGGAAGACGGUCCUACGGAUUGUAAACCUCUUUUGCCGGGGAGCAACGGGGUCCUUGCGAGGGCCCGAUGAGAGUACCCGGAGAAAAAGCAUCGGCUAACUCCGUGCCAGCAGCCGCGGUAAUACGGAGGAUGCGAGCGUUAUCCGGAUUUAUUGGGUUUAAAGGGUGCGUAGGCGGGCUGUUAAGUCAGCGGUCAAAUGUCGGGGCUCAACCCCGGCCUGCCGUUGAAACUGGCGGCCUCGAGUGGGCGAGAAGUAUGCGGAAUGCGUGGUGUAGCGGUGAAAUGCAUAGAUAUCACGCAGAACUCCGAUUGCGAAGGCAGCAUACCGGCGCCCGACUGACGCUGAGGCACGAAAGCGUGGGUAUCGAACAGGAUUAGAUACCCUGGUAGUCCACGCAGUAAACGAUGAAUGCUAGCUGUCCGGUUCUACGGGACUGGGUGGCACAGCGAAAGCGUUAAGCAUUCCACCUGGGGAGUACGCCGGCAACGGUGAAACUCAAAGGAAUUGACGGGGGCCCGCACAAGCGGAGGAACAUGUGGUUUAAUUCGAUGAUACGCGAGGAACCUUACCCGGGCUCAAACGCCAAAGGACAGCCGUUGAAAGGCGGCCUCCCUCCGGGGUCUUUGGCGAGGUGCUGCAUGGUUGUCGUCAGCUCGUGCCGUGAGGUGUCGGCUUAAGUGCCAUAACGAGCGCAACCCCCAUCGACAGUUGCUAACGGGUAGAGCCGAGGACUCUGUCGAGACUGCCGGCGCAAGCUGCGAGGAAGGCGGGGAUGACGUCAAAUCAGCACGGCCCUUACGUCCGGGGCGACACACGUGUUACAAUGGCCGGUACAGCGGGAUGCCAGGGCGCGAGCCCGAGCGGAACCCGAAAACCGGUCUCAGUUCGGAUUGGAGUCUGCAACCCGACUCCAUGAAGCUGGAUUCGCUAGUAAUCGCGCAUCAGCCACGGCGCGGUGAAUACGUUCCCGGGCCUUGCACUCACCGCCCGUCA
rnacentral:rRNA from 1 species